rnacentral:ncRNA from 1 species
AACGACCGGUCGGGCAUUCACGUGCCCGGCCCACAAGUGGAGGCUCCGCUCUCCCACCUGGCCGCUCCUAGGAGUGGCGGGUCACCGGUCAGGCGGUCAUGUCGAGAGACAUGGCACGCCCGAAGUCACGCCCCGCGAUGUGUCGCGGCGGUGUUCCGGUAUGCAAGGAGCCCCGCCCGUGAUCGUCCGGGGCAUUUUUC